ACUUCAUUCACCAGGCUGUACUUCACCAGGCUGUACUUCAUUCACCAGGCUGUACUUCAUUCACCAGGAUCUACUUCAUUCACCAGGCUGUACUUCACCAGGCCGUACUUCACCAGGAUGUACUUCAUUUACCAGGCUGUACUUCACCAGGCUGUACUUAAUUCACCUGGCUGUACUUCAUUCACCAGGCUGUACUUCAUUCACCAAGAUGUACUUCAUUCACCAGGCUGUACUUCACCAGGCUGUACUUAAUUCACCUGGCUGUACUUCAUUCACCAGGCUGUACUUCAUUCACCAAGAUGUACUUCAUUCACCAGGCUGUACUUCACCAGGCUGUACUUCAUUCACCAGGCUGUACUUCACCAGGCUGUACCUCAUUCACCAGGCUGUACUUCACCAGGCUGUACUUCAUUCACCAG
ensembl:lncRNA